rnacentral:rRNA from 1 species
UCCGUAGGCGGGUUUAUAAGUCAGUGGUGAAAGUUUGCGGCUCAACCGUAAAAUUGCCAUUGAUACUGUAGAUCUUGAAUUAGUGUGAAGUGGUUAGAAUGUGUAGUGUAGCGGUGAAAUGCAUAGAUAUUACACAGAAUACCAAUUGCGAAGGCAGAUCACUAACACUAUAUUGACGCUGAGGGACGAAAGCGUGGGGAGCGAACAGGAUUAGAUACCCUGGUAGUCC